rnacentral:lncRNA from 1 species
GUUGCUGGGAGUGGGAAAGAGGUGGCAUCGGCGGUUCAAGACUGAGUUUUCUAUCUCUUCAGUGCCUCUUUCAACAAUGAAGAUCAAACCAGGUUUUGUGCAAAUAUCUGCUGAGUGAACUACUUAUUUGAAAAUACAUCAUUGGUUAAUAUUCCCUUUUGCUCAUUGAAAUCUCAAAGACUACAGACCCCGCACAAGACAUUCUGACAUUCCCGUCUUUGAAAUGAAUGACAGCAAUGAUAAAUAUGGCUCACCUCCAGAGAUACAGAUCUCACAACUUCAUAUUUUUAAUAUAAAUUAUUAAUCUGAGGUGUGGUGCAAUUCCAUUAGAUGAAAGAGAUCUACACAUUCAGAAGCACAUGAUUCUUCCCCCUUCCAUGAUUCCAGUGGCCAAUAGGAAUUCUAAUUGGAACAGACAAAAACCCAAUACAUGUUUAAGCAGUAAAGUAUUCAUCAGGUCACAAAAAGAGGAGCAAGAGGAGCUGACUCUUUAUGUCAUAUCUUGGCCUUGUAAUUUGAUUCUUUGCCAACAUGCAUGGUUUUUCUCCAUAGGCUGUGCAUUGGGACAAACUACAAUAAAGCCAUGCCCUGACUGGAUGUGCCUAACAUUUGUCUGGUGCUUAAAGGAGUUGGCUGCAUGCGUGGAAAUGUUGGAAAGUCACCAAAAAUAGUUCUCCAAGUCAGAAGCGGUGCAAAAGCUGCCUCAGCUCUUGGUGGAUUUUCAAUUUCUCCCAGCCAUCUCUGUUUCGCUAAAGGUUUCUGAAGACAGUGGGUAUGUGGCAAACUUCUGCAAUUCUAUAUUAAGAUAAACUGUUAGAUCAA